rnacentral:lncRNA from 1 species
UUAUUUUGUUCCAAACUCCUUGAGGAUUUAAAUGUCCCAUGUCUUGAGCUCUGAAAUUUUGUUCGUUCUAGAUUUAACUGUGGUGCAUAAGAGGCUGCAUCCUACUCUAAAUAUUAAUACUGUGCUGCUUUUGCCAAUCAACAUUCUCUCCAAAAGCACACAAGCUCACAUGUGCACAACCACAUGUGUGGAAGAAGUAAAUUGAUAUCCCACCAUAUUAUGUGACAUCUGAAUGGGCAGAUUUGGGACCUAUGAAUGUCUUCCCUUCAUCUGGAGAGAAGUGGGCGACUGCCUGAUUCUUAAGAGCCAUCUGCAUCUUAAGCAACAAAAGAGGUCCUACAGAACCACCCUCUGGUGACUUGGUGAGAGUGAGGUGGGGAGAAAUGGAAGCAGGGGCAUUGUUGCUCCAGUAUUUUCAGUGGUCUCUCCUGGGAGUUACAGGGCUCCUAGGGCCCAGAUUCUCCUGUUCCACUACUGUUAGAACUGACAGGAUAGUAACUAGGCCCUUUCUAGGGCCCCUUUCUACCCACAGAGCUAAGAACCAGUGGGUUUUCCUUUGGGGAGUUGAUAAGAGCUGGACUGGGACCAGCGGAGGGGGCUCAGGACUUUGGCCUUGAAUGAAAUCAUUGGAGGCCAACCAUGCCCCAGCUGCCUGUUUGUAACGGAAAAUCAUGAGUGGGAACUAUUGUCUUCUUUGGAGCCCCUCAGGACAACCUCAUCCUCCUGGCCCGGGGAUGACCCUGCCUUAAGGUGGCAAGUUACUGUUGGCUCCAAGUGACAACCAGGAAUGCCUGGCAAAAAGAUGAUGAAAGGGUGGGUGACAGGAACACAAUAGACAAAGGCUCAGAGAGGAGAAAAAGAGACACAAAGAGGCAGAGUGAGGAGAGAGGCUGAGCUCCUAAUGAGGUGAGCUGUGCUAACUGAACACAGCCUGGCAGUGCCCUCUGCCCCUAGCCAGGGGCACUGGGAAUGUUCUUCAGUAAGACUGCUGCCAGAGCCUGGGCAUAAGGAAGCAUCAGUCACCUACUUCAGAGGGAUCAAAGUGGUUCAGAGUCUACCUUUCAUGGCACCUUUAAUGCCCUCUAAGCAAAGUGGCCUAGGAUGCCCAGCAUGGGAGACACAUUGGGUGGUAAAGGCUGGGAUGGCUUCCCCUUCCCAAAAGAAAUUUUCCAACCCUAUGUGCAACUGCUGCCUGUACCUUUUUGGGAUCCAGGCUGGGAAUUGAUUUUUUUUUCUUAAAUAGUCUCUUUCCUGGCCUGGCCCAGGUAGAAAUAUAGACCUGUCAUGAAAACUGAGAGAUGGGGCUCACCAUAUCAAUAACUACUGCCCCUCCUCCCACCAUGGCAGCUCGUGUCAUCAGUCCUCCUCUACCUGCUGAGAUGAAAGGAGUUUCUUCACAUUUUGCCAUGUGUAUACAAGAAUGGGGUGCUGGGAGGGCCUUGAGGUUAAUGCCUUGGACUGUAAGAUUUGUAAAAAUCAGUGACUGGAACAUGGAACACUGUGGUGUUUAAGGUUUCUUCCCUAUGUGAUAUUCUACUCUUCCAGUCUAGGAUUAUAUAGCUUGAGCGAAAAAGUGAGAUGUGGCUCAGCCUGAGAUGAGUGGGACUGAUGCUAGUGUUAGGAGUGGACUGGGACAAGGUGAGGCUGAUUGGCCCAAGUUCCGGGUCCCUCCUUUCUUCAAGCACCCAUGUGUCUAUGACAGUCAUACGAAGAAAUAGAGGGGAAAGAGUAUGGAGAGAAGUCAGUAGAGGAAAAAAAGAAGGAAGGGAAGAGGGGAGCAGACUGUUAACCAACCAUACAAUAAGGGCACUGCUUGUACCCAGUUCUUGGGAAGCCACAGCCAUCAGCAACUCUAAGACUAACCAAGGCUACUUGUCUCAUUUUGCCUCCCUGCCCCUCCACCCAGUGGCUCCCAAAUAUGGAUGGCAAUGACCUCCUCAGCAAACAGAGAUUUGGGCCUACCCUAUUAGGCUCCUGGGGACACAGUAGCACCUUUGGCAGUUGAUUAUAGUGGGUGACUAACAAGCUGGGUCCAGGAGGUCCCAUCCUCCUCCUCCCCCAGAGCUUAGAAAGUAUAUGGAGAGGUUCCAAAGGCCAGGGGGUGAUCCCAAGCUUUCCCAGAUCCUAGGAGGAGAAAGGCCCUGGAAAAUUUAAAAGCAUUCUGGGGACAAUUUAGUUAAUGAGUUUGGAACACCUGGAGCUUUGACUCCAAGGAGAUUGUCAGGUGGCUGAAAUGCUGUGUGCGCAGGUCUGGGAACAAGUGUGCUGGUGGCAAAAAUGUAAAUGCUGAGCAGGGUGGGAUGAAGGGGAAGAGCUGGGAAAGGGCACACAAUGGCAAGAAAGGCAUUAGAUUGGUUCCUCAGGGUUGGGGGAGCCUGGCAGUAGCUCCCCAUUGGGGUCUGGGUCAGGGGCCAACAUCUUAUCCUUGCUGGAAUCUCUCUGCUCUUUCUUGAACAUCCUUUGAUGCAUCAGAGGGACGAAGAAGAGGAUUACAGCCCCGAUGAUGGGGGGCACACCGGCAAAGUAGAAGGCCACAUGGUAGUCCCCAAAACAGUUGCGGAGUAGGCCUGAA